rnacentral:rRNA from 1 species
CCUACGGGUGGCAGCAGUGGGGAAUAUUGCACAAUGGGCGCAAGCCUGAUGCAGCCAUGCCGCGUGUGUGAAGAAGGCCUUCGGGUUGUAAAGCACUUUCAGCGGGGAGGAAGGCGGUGAGGUUAAUAACCUCAUCGAUUGACGUUACCCGCAGAAGAAGCACCGGCUAACUCCGUGCCAGCAGCCGCGGUAAUACGGAGGGUGCAAGCGUUAAUCGGAAUUACUGGGCGUAAAGCGCACGCAGGCGGUCUGUCAAGUCGGAUGUGAAAUCCCCGGGCUCAACCUGGGAACUGCAUUCGAAACUGGCAGGCUAGAGUCUUGUAGAGGGGGGUAGAAUUCCAGGUGUAGCGGUGAAAUGCGUAGAGAUCUGGAGGAAUACCGGUGGCGAAGGCGGCCCCCUGGACAAAGACUGACGCUCAGGUGCGAAAGCGUGGGGAGCAAACAGGAUGAGAUACCCGUGUAGUC